CACUCACGUUCUCUCUCUCAGAAGCAUCACCACCAGACUUCAAUAUUUAUUCAUUUCCUUUCUUCCAUACUUUUACUUUCCUUUUCUCCUUCACGUUUUUCUUUCCCUGGCAGCAACAAACCGACGCACACCACCUUCUUUUCCUCUUUCUUUCUCAUUUUCUUUCUUCUUCUACAGAUCACAUUUUUCUUCUUCUUCUUUUCCACUUCUUUUAUUCUUCUUUUUCUUCUUCCUUCAUGAAACAAUAACCACCAUGCUAAUUUCUUCUCCUCACAUUCCAGCACCCAAAACGCACAUAAUGGUCCCUCUUCCCUCCCUCACGUGAUUUCUCUCUUGUGCAGCACCAUGUCUUCAUCUUCCUAUUCUAUGGGUACGAAGGACGGAAGUGCUUGACGACGAAGCCAAAGAACAAACGGAAGUGAGCCAACACGGGAAAGCAAAUAUAUGAUUGGAUUUGAUUUGAGUCGCAUUUAGUAAGGAAAGCACCUAAGAUGUCGACGGUGGACUGGGUUUCGAUGGUCUCUCCCACGGGGGGAAUCAGGUUUGAGUUGGAGGACCGUACUGACGAGCGUGGACGUCUGACGGAGAGAGUUCUACGACGCAUGGAGCUGAGCUCCAACUUGCCAACUUUAGUUCGCUGUGGACUCGGUUAUGUGAACAGUACUGGGAGGGUAGGUUCAGGCAGGCGUCAUACUUUGUGUAGAGCUCUGAUUCGUUUUGCUUUUGGGACAGGGUAGGUUCCCGACGCAUGACCUUUCGUGUGGUUCUCUUACUGAGGGAUCACAGUGAGUCAGUCGGACCAUAGGGGUCUUUGCUUAGGCCAUUUUGAGGCCGACUUUCUUUUGGUGGAUUGUACUUAUAAUUUUCUCACUUACAGUUCUGGUCCUGUAUAUAUUUGCCUGCGGGCACACUACUUUGGAGUCACUGCAAGUGCGCGUGACAUGGGAGUGCAGCUGAGGCUGUACAUGUUUAUAUUUGAUGUAUAUUAGUUAGUUUAGUGGUUGGGCUA